GGGAGUGGCAGACGGGUGAGUAACGCGUGGGAAUCUACCGUGCCCUGCGGAAUAGCUCUGGGAAACUGGAAUUAAUACCGCAUACGCCCUACGGGGGAAAGAUUUAUCGGGGUAUGAUGAGCCCGCGUUGGAUUAGCUAGUUGGUGGGGUAAUGGCCUACCAAGGCGACGAUCCAUAGCUGGUCUGAGAGGAUGAUCAGCCACAUUGGGACUGAGACACGGCCCAAACUCCUACGGGAGGCAGCAGUGGGGAAUAUUGGACAAUGGGCGCAAGCCUGAUCCAGCCAUGCCGCGUGAGUGAUGAAGGCCUUAGGGUUGUAAAGCUCUUUCACCGGAGAAGAUAAUGACGGUAUCCGGAGAAGAAGCCCCGGCUAACUUCGUGCCAGCAGCCGCGGUAAUACGAAGGGGGCUAGCGUUGUUCGGAAUUACUGGGCGUAAAGCGCACGUAGGCGG
rnacentral:rRNA from 2 species